rnacentral:rRNA from 1 species
GACGAACGCUGGCGGCGUGCUUAACACAUGCAAGUCGAACGGUGAAGCGCCUUCCUUUUUGGUGGGUGUGGAUGAGUGGCGAACGGGUGAGUAACACGUGAGUAACCUGCCCCCUUCUUCUGGAUAACCGCAUGAAAGUGUGGCUAAUACGGGAUAUUCUGGGUCUGUCGCAUGAUGGGUCUGGGAAAGAUAUUGUUUCGGUGGGGGAUGGGCUCGCGGCCUAUCAGCUUGUUGGUGGGGUGAUGGCCUACCAAGGCGGUGACGGGUAGCCGGCCUGAGAGGGUGGACGGUCACACUGGGACUGAGACACGGCCCAGACUCCUACGGGAGGAAGCAGUGGGGAAUAUUGCACAAUGGGCGCAAGCCUGAUGCAGCGACGCCGCGUGAGGGAUGGAGGCCUUCGGGUUGUGAACCUCUUUCGCCAGUGAAGCAGGCCUGCCUCGUUUGUGGGUGGGUUGACGGUAGCUGGAUAAGAAGCGCCGGCUAACUACGUG